AUUGAACGCUGGCGGCAGGCCUAACACAUGCAAGUCGAGCGGAUGAAGGGAGCUUGCUCCUGGAUUCAGCGGCGGACGGGUGAGUAAUGCCUAGGAAUCUGCCUGGUAGUGGGGGAUAACGUCCGGAAACGGGCGCUAAUACCGCAUACGUCCUGAGGGAGAAAGUGGGGGAUCUUCGGACCUCACGCUAUCAGAUGAGCCUAGGUCGGAUUAGCUAGUUGGUGGGGUAAAGGCCUACCAAGGCGACGAUCCGUAACUGGUCUGAGAGGAUGAUCAGUCACACUGGAACUGAGACACGGUCCAGACUCCUACGGGAGGCAGCAGUGGGGAAUAUUGGACAAUGGGCGAAAGCCUGAUCCAGCCAUGCCGCGUGUGUGAAGAAGGUCUUCGGAUUGUAAUGCACUUUAAGUUGGGAGGAAGGGCAGUAAGUUAAUACCUUCCUGUUUUGACGUUACCAACAGAAUAAGCACCGGCUAACUUCGUG
rnacentral:rRNA from 1 species